GCUGGCAAAGCAAUCCAGAGGGGCUUUGGUCAGCACAAACUACACAGAGAACUUCUCUUCACUGGCCUGGGCAGGUCUGCACAGCAAAUCAUCUACACAGGGACAAAAGGACUCCAGAAGACAGACAGCUGGAGUUCAAGUGGCUCCAACACCCACACCAGUCAAGCCCAAGAUGUUUGGUAUUUGGACACUGGAGUCUGGGUUCCAAUCCCUCUCCCAGUAUUAUCCAUUUGGUUGUUUAAAUGACAAGCAAACUCCAGCACCAGUCCCUGUGAAGGAUAAGCAGCUUUUGCCAACAGCAACAGUGGCACGGGGAAGGCUGGCUCGGGGAGGAGGAGUUUGUUUGUGGGGAAGUGAGCUUGGCCAGGCUGACAGGGAGCUGUGGAGGUGGAAAUCCCUUCCUGCAGGUGCUGCUUUCCCUCUCAUCACUUUAUUUACUGCAGGACCACUGGUUUGGAAGCAUUUCUGAUGGACAGAGAGCAAAAGGAGAAUUUAAUGAUGGUCUAUGUGCAAAGGUAACCCAACAAUAACCACAGUCUCAUGGAAAGCUAAAAUAAAUUCUAGAAAACACUUAGAGAAAAAACAAAUAUCUGCAGCUGAAACCAGCUCAUCUAUUUUUGGAAAAUUGCAAGGAUUGCCUCGCCCAGCAAGAGCGGAAUUAUGCAACCCCAAGAGGAAAAAAUCCCAUAAAUCCCAAGUUCUUUUCAAUUCCUUUUGGUCAAUUCCAGGCUGGAACCCCCAAACCCCAAACUGGAGAACCUGCAACACCUCGAGGCCGGAAAAAUCCCGGGAGGAAAAAAACAAAAUCCCAUAAAUCCCAAGUUCUUUUCAAUUCCUUUUGGUCAAUUCCAGGCUGGAACCCCCAAACCCCAAAGUGGAGAACCUGCAACACCUCGAGGCCGGAAAAAUCCCGGGAGGAAAAAAACAAAAUCCCAUAAAUCCCAAGUUCUUUUCAAUUCCUUUUGGUCAAUUCCAGGCUGGAACCCCCAAACCCCAAACUGGAGAACCUGCAACACCUCGAGGCCGG